UUCAAGCUGAGAGUUGUAAGGAGAGGUCACUGAGAGUACGCCGGGAGAAUAAUGAACGAAUAUGUAACCUCACAUUGAGAAGGUGCUCCAUAGAAGCCGGGCAGGGUGACAGGAAAUAAGAGUGUGUUGGGGGAAGGGCAGAGACUUCUGUUACAAUAAUGGCGUCAGGAGACCCUAUUUGAGGAGGGACCAUGGUAACUGUGUGUCUAAGGAAAGAGAAAGCAGAUGCCUGUAAACUGCUGGAGAGAGAGCUGGAAACCUGGUGAAAGCCACCCAAAACGAGAGACAAAUGGUGACCCCUGUGAAAGGGUCAUUCGACACCUCCAGCGUCGUACAGGUCUCGAACCCCUGCUUUAGAUGCCACUGUGAUUACUGGAGAAAAGAAAGCAGGAAGCAGGAAGGUCAUUUUGGAAUCUACUACCACCAUCUCAGGAGAGAUGCUGGAGAGGUGACUAGGUGACCAGGGGAUUUCCGACACAUUUUGGAGGUAGACUUGGUGGGGCUUUCUGAGGCCGUGGACUGAGGGAGAGAGCUCCCUCAUGUAUGGCAUUCAGGUUUCUGCCUUGAGCAAGGUGCUGAAGGUAGUGCAUGGUCUAAGACGGGGCAUUGGGGGACUGGGUCAGGGGAGAAAAUCUGGGAUGGGCACCAAAAGUACAGACUGCACAGGUUCAAGCUAAGCUUUGGAGAUGUCAAAACAAACCAAAUGAACAUCUAGCAAAUAAACACGAGUCAGAGUCUCGGGCUUGGAUGGACAGUGUCAAGAUGAUGCCCAACUCAUUCCUUCAGCCUCUCUGUGUCGUCUCUGCUCCUGCAUUUAGCCAUUUGCCAUGAUUCCUCGCUGGACCAACCCCAGCAUAGUGUAAUGACCUUUGUGCAAUCAUAAAGCCCUGCUCACAGUGCUGUGGCUUUACCUCUCUAACAUCAUAGGGAUGGAUGCUCCAGGGAUGAUUCCUUAAGGCUUCCAUGGCUCCUGUCACAUCAGGAGACUCCGUGUCCUGCCAGUGGACUUUGGACCCCUUAGUUUCUCAGGGAGUCUCCAGAAAGGCCUGGUGACAUAAUCAGAACAUGUAAAAACCUUAGCAUUGCUGGGGCAAACGUCAUCCAAUGAGAAGCAGGAGCCAGGAAGGAAUCGUGAAAAGAAGGACACAGUGAAACCGCCACAUCCAAGGACGUUAACAGCGCUUCUGGACGUGAGCUGUCAGAGAGAUCAAGGAAAAUUGCAGGAAGUGUUCAGAAAGCGGUGGAGGGAGAGUAAACACCACACACAGCUCAGCUUGCCCACGUCUACAGAGAAAGCUCUCACGAGGCAGAAACCGGCUCCAAGGUAAACCUGUCCCACACUCCCAUGCCUCUGAGCCUGAAUGAUCGGAGGGAAGAAAGAAAACAAUGGCUAGCCAGAGGCCCUCAGACUGCUGCUGCUGCGGAAUGGGGAUUUUGGUCGGAUGUUGAGUUUACCUGGAAUCCCCCGGUGUUAUUUUGGGAAGGCAGACAUCCUAUGGAAACAAUGAUGAUGUGGAAAAGAAAACAGAUAAAGCAAAUGCUAGAGCCUU